CUGAGAGGGCGACCGGCCACACUGGGACUGAGACACGGCCCAGAUUCCUACGGGAGGCAGCAGUGGGGAAUAUUGCACAAUGGGGGAAACCCUGAUGCAGCGACGCAGCGUGCGGGAUGACGGCCUUCGGGUUGUAAACCGCUUUCAGCAGGGAAGAAGCGAAAGUGACGGUACCUGCAGAAGAAGUCCCGGCUAACUACGUGCCAGCAGCCGCGGUAAUACGUAGGGUACGAGCGUUGUCCGGAAUUAUUGGGCGUAAAGAGCUCGUAGGUGGUUGGUCACUUCUGCUGUGGAAACGCAACGCUUAACGUUGCGCGUGCAGUGGGUACGGGCUGACUAGAGUGCAGUAGGGGAUUCUGGAAUUCCUGGUGUAGCGGUGAAAUGCGCAGAUAUCAGGAGGAACACCGGUGGCGAAGGCGGGACUCUGGGCUGUAACUGACACUGAGGAGCGAAAGCAUGGGGAGCGAACAGGAUUAGAUACCCUGGUAGUCCAUGCCGUAAACGUUGGGCACUAGGUG
rnacentral:rRNA from 1 species